rnacentral:rRNA from 1 species
AUUGAACGCUGGCGGCAUGCUUUACACAUGCAGUCGGACGGCAGCGGGGUAGUGCUUGCACUACUGCCGGCGAGUGGCGAACGGGUGAGUAACAUAUCGGAACGUACCGAGCAGUGGGGGAUAACUAAUCGAAAGAUUAGCUAAUACCGCAUAUAUUCUGAGGAAGAAAGCAGGGGACCUUUGGGCCUUGCGCUGUUUGAACGGCCGAUAUCUGAUUAGCUGGUUGGUGGGGUAAAGGCCUACCAAGGCGACGAUCAGUAGCGGGUCUGAGAGGAUGAUCCGCCACACUGGGGCUGAGACACGGCCCAGACUCCUACGGGAGGCAGCAGUGGGGAAUUUUGGACAAUGGGGGCAACCCUGAUCCAGCCAUGCCGCGUGUCUGAAGAAGGCCUUCGGGUUGUAAAGGACUUUUGUCCGGGAAGAAAAGCGCGAUGUUAAUACCAUUGCGUGCUGACGGUACCGGAAGAAUAGCACCGCUA